ACAGCAUCUUAAACAGGUCGUGGUCUCUGAGCAGUAGACCAGGAUUUGGUAGCUGGUGCUAAGAUCAGUUCUCUUCUGCAACACUCCCGCUAGCAACUUUUGGGCUUUCUGGGAUUACUAUGGGAGAGAGACAAAC
rnacentral:snoRNA from 1 species